rnacentral:rRNA from 1 species
AUUGAACGCUGGCGGCAGGCUUAACACAUGCAAGUCGAGCGGAGAUGAGGUGCUUGCACCUUAUCUUAGCGGCGGACGGGUGAGUAAUGCUUAGGAAUCUGCCUAUUAGUGGGGGACAACAUUCCGAAAGGAAUGCUAAUACCGCAUACGUCCUACGGGAGAAAGCAGGGGAUCUUCGGACCUUGCGCUAAUAGAUGAGCCUAAGUCGGAUUAGCUAGUUGGCGGGGUAAAGGCCUACCAAGGCGACGAUCUGUAGCGGGUCUGAGAGGAUGAUCCGCCACACUGGGACUGAGACACGGCCCAGACUCCUACGGGAGGCAGCAGUGGGGAAUAUUGGACAAUGGGGGGAACCCUGAUCCAGCCAUGCCGCGUGUGUGAAGAAGGCCUUAUGGUUGUAAAGCACUUUAAGCGAGGAGGAGGCUACUGAGACUAAUACCCUUGGAUAGUGGACGUUACUCGCAGAAUAAGCACCGGCUAACUCUGUGCCAGCCGCCGCAGUAACAC